rnacentral:rRNA from 1 species
CGCCGCGGUUAUACGAGAGGCCCAAGUCGACAGAUUUCGGCGUAAAGGGUGGUUAGGAGAAAUACAACCUAGAGAAAAACGCUCUUCAAGCUGUUAUACGCCCCAAGAGUAAGAAGCCCCCACGCGAAAGCAACUCUAUAAGCAAUCUGAACCCACGACAGCUCUGACA